rnacentral:rRNA from 1 species
AAACUUACCAGGUCAAGACAUGGGCGUGAUUGACAGGCUAAUGACUUUUCUCGAUUCCAUGGAUGGUGGUGCAUGGUCGCACUUAGUUGGUGCAGUGAUUUGUCAGGUUUAUUCCGGUAACGAACGAGACCUCGGCCUUGUAAAUAGCUAUGCUGCUUACAGGGACAUUGGCGGCUACGCCAAGGAAGCUCGAGGCAAUUGCAGAUCUGGAAUGCCCUUAGAUGUCCUGGGUCGCACGCGUGCUACAAUGACGCCACGAACGAGCUUGCGUGAUGAAAGUUACGCAUAAUCAGCAGUCGGCGUCUUAAGGGAUAGUCUCUUGUAACUGUGGGACUCCAACUAGGAAUGUCUCGUAAGCACAAGUCAACAUCUUGUGUUGAUUACGUCCCUGCUCUUUGUACACACCGCCCGUCGCUCCUACCGAUCGAGUGUUUAGGUGAAUUUGAUGGACGUAAGGAAGUCAAAUAAACCUGAGCACUAGAGAAGAGAAGUCGAGCAUA